CGGACGGGUGAGUAACACGUAGAGAACCUACCUUACACAGGGGGACAACGGGCUGGAAACGGCUGCUAAUACCGCAUAAGCACCCAGUUUCGCAUGAAACAGAGUGAAAAGAGUAAAUCGGUGUAAGAUGGCUCUGCGUCUGAUUAGCUAGUUGGUGGGGUAAAGGCUCACCAAGGCGACGAUCAGUAGCCGGCCUGAGAGGGUGGACGGCCACAUUGGGACUGAGACACGGCCCAAACUCCUACGGAAGGCAGCAG
rnacentral:rRNA from 1 species